rnacentral:misc_RNA from 1 species
AUUUCUCAACCUUAUUUUUUGAAAAGCUAUAAGGCUUGGAUAUGGGGGGCUGCAGGUCCACAAUUAUGGUCUGCUCCUCUGAAAUGCAUUAGUGGGUUAGGCUCCUGUCUGUUAGUGUGAUAAUUAUCUACACUAUGGACUAGAGCUUUAAUUAACCUGCUUAUAACAUGUCCCUAGGACAAUUUUGACAA